GCAAGUCGAGCGCACCCUUCGGGGUGAGCGGCGGACGGGUUAGUAACGCGUGGGAAUAUGCCCAAAGGUAGGGAAUAGCCACUGGAAACGGUGAGUAAUACCCUAUGUGCCCUUCGGGGGAAAGAUUUAUCGCCUUUGGAUUAGCCCGCGUUGGAUUAGGUAGUUGGUGAGGUAACGGCUCACCAAGCCGACGAUCCAUAGCUGGUUUGAGAGGAUGAUC
rnacentral:rRNA from 1 species